UGUAACAAACAAGCCUUGAUGCCAAACCAAAAUUCAGCUCCUUGAACUUGAUGAACACUCCCAACUUUGAGUCCUUCAGCUCCUCAUAUUCGUCAGCAUGUAGAGCUUGUCUUUCAUCAGUAUGAUACGAAAUGAUUUUGAGUGCAUGGGGCUCUUCCCCUAAUGUAUAUAUCCUCCGUUGGAGUUCUGGUGAAUCCAUUUUCCAGUCUGCAAAACAAUCAAAAACCAACAUCUCAAACACAAACCAAACGU
rnacentral:lncRNA from 1 species